AUUGAACGCUGGCGGCAUGCCUUACACAUGCAAGUCGAACGGCAGCAUGGAGAGCUUGCUCUCUGAUGGCGAGUGGCGAACGGGUGAGUAAUGCAUCGGAACGUACCGUGUAAUGGGGGAUAACGUAGCGAAAGUUACGCUAAUACCGCAUACGACCUGAGGGUGAAAGCAGGGGAUCGCAAGACCUUGCGUUAUACGAGCGGCCGAUGUCAGAUUAGCUAGUUGGUGAGGGAAAGGCUCACCAAGGCGACGAUCUGUAGCGGGUCUGAGAGGAUGAUCCGCCACACUGGGACUGAGACACGGCCCAGACUCCUACGGGAGGCAGCAGUGGGGAAUUUUGGACAAUGGGGGCAACCCUGAUCCAGCCAUGCCGCGUGAGUGAAGAAGGCCUUCGGGUUGUAAAGCUCUUUCGGCCGGGAAGAAAUCGCACAGGCUAAUACUCUGUGUGGAUGAUGGUACCGGCAUAAGAAGCACCGGCUAACUACGUGCCAGCCGCCGCUGUAA
rnacentral:rRNA from 1 species